ACGUGGGGGGUCCGGCGGGGCAGGCUGGAGCUGGCAAUGGGGCGCAGUGAGGCUGGGCGCCUACCUUGAGCUCGUCCUGCGUGGAGGGAGCUUUGCUCAUAGCCUGAGGCGGAAGCGUGAAGCCAGGACUGAGUGGGUGAAGAGAGCCUGGGCUGAGCAGACAUGGCCGCUUAUCACCAAGAAGGGCAGGUGCAGCUGCCCCGAGCUGAUGUCAUUCGUUCACGUCUCAUGGAUACUUUCUCUCUCAUCGAGCAUUUGCAAGGAUUGGGCCAAGCUGUGCCGGGCACACUAUCAGGGAGUUACUUGAUCCCUCUCGCCAGAAGAAACUCAUGUUGGGAGAUCAACAACAGCUGGUGCGCUUCUCAAUAAAGCCUCAACAUAUAGGACAGAUUUCACAAGCCCAGAGGCUACGGAGGAAGCUUCAUGUGCGCUGCAGUCAGAGGCCACCUCUUUCUUUGUGGGCCGGAUGGGUCCUUGAGCGUAUCCUUCAUGUCACUUACUUUUAUACUGGCUGUUCAUCAUCUGCCUAAUGACUUAUUUUUUGCACCCCAAACUCCUUUUUCUCAUUCUCACUGGUUAUGUUAUUGCCCUUAUUAUUUCAGCUGCAUAAA